rnacentral:rRNA from 1 species
CCUACGGGUGGCAGCAGUGAGGAAUAUUGGUCAAUGGGCGCGAGCCUGAACCAGCCAAGUCGCGUGAGGGAUGACGGUCCUACGGAUUGUAAACCUCUUUUGCCGGGGAGCAAGCGUGCGUUCGUGAACGCGCGUCGAGAGUACCCGGAGAAAAAGCAUCGGCUAACUCCGUGCCAGCAGCCGCGGUAAUACGGAGGAUGCGAGCGUUAUCCGGAUUGAUUGGGUUUAAAGGGUGCGUAGGCGGGAUGCCAAGUCAGCGGUAAAUAUGCGGUGCUAACCGCCGUCGUGCCGUUGAAACUGGUGUUCUUGAGUGGGCGAGAAGUAUGCGGAAUGCGUGGUGUAGCGGUGAAAUGCAUAGAUAUCACGAAGAACACCGAUUGCGAAGGCAGCAUACCGGCGCCCUACUGACGCUGAGGCACGAAAGCGUGGGUAUCGAACAGGAUUAGAUACCCGGGUAGUC